GGCAGCUACACAUGCAGUCGAACGGUAACAGGAAGCAGCUUGCUGCUUCGCUGACGAGUGGCGGACGGGUGAGUAAUGUCUGGGAAACUGCCUGAUGGAGGGGGAUAACUACUGGAAACGGUAGCUAAUACCGCAUAACGUCGCAAGACCAAAGAGGGGGACCUUCGGGCCUCUUGCCAUCGGAUGUGCCCAGAUGGGAUUAGCUAGUAGGUGGGGUAACGGCUCACCUAGGCGACGAUCCCUAGCUGGUCUGAGAGGAUGACCAGCCACACUGGAACUGAGACACGGUCCAGACUCCUACGGGAGGCAGCAGUGGGGAAUAUUGCACAAUGGGCGCAAGCCUGAUGCAGCCAUGCCGCGUGUAUGAAGAAGGCCUUCGGGUUGUAAAGUACUUUCAGCGGGGAGGAAGGUGUUGAGGUUAAUAACCUCGGCAAUUGACGUUACCCGCAGAAGAAGCACCGGCUAACUCCGUGCCAGCAGCCGCGGUAAUACGGAGGGUGCAAGCGUUAAUCGGAAUUACUGGGCGUAAAGCGCACGCAGGCGGUCUGUCAAGUCGGAUGUGAAAUCCCCGGGCUCAACCUGGGAACUGCAUUCGAAACUGGCAGGCUAGAGUCUUGUAGAGGGGGGUAGAAUUCCAGGUGUAGCGGUGAAAUGCGUAGAGAUCUGGAGGAAUACCGGUGGCGAAGGCGGCCCCCUGGACAAAGACUGACGCUCAAGUGCGAAAGCGUGCGGAGCAAACAGGAUUAGAUACCCUGGUAGUCCACGCCGCAAACGAUGUCGACUUG
rnacentral:rRNA from 1 species